GUCUUAUUGUUUAAAAAUUUUAAGUCUGACCUGCCCAUUGAUUUUGGUUUAACGGCCGCAGUAAUUUGACUGUGCUAAGGUAGCAUAAUCAUUAGUUUUUUAAUUGAAAACUGGAAUGAAGGGUUGAAUGAGAAAAAAUCUGUCUUUUUACUAAAAUUUGAAUUUUAUUUUUAAGUUAAAAGGCUUAAAUAUAAUUAAAAGACGAGAAGACCCUUUAGAGUUUUAUAUUUAAAUAUAAUGAAUUUUUUGGAAUAUAUUUUAAUUAUUUUUAUAUAUUUAAUUGGGGUGAUUGUUAAAUUAAUUAAACUUUAAUAUUUUUAUAACAAUAAUUAUUGAUUAAUUUGAUCCAUUGUUAGUGAUUAUUAGAAUAAAUUACCUAAGGGAUAACAGCGUAAUUUUUUUGAAGAGUUCAAAUCGAUAAAAGGGAUUGCGACCUCGAUGUUGGAUUAAAGUUAAUUAUUAAGUGCAGAAGCUAAUGAAUUUGGUCUGUUCGACCAUUAAAACUUUACA
rnacentral:rRNA from 1 species